UACGUAGGGUGCAAGCGUUAAUCGGAAUUACUGGGCGUAAAGUGUGCGCAGGCGGCCGCGCAAGUCGAGUGUGAAAGCCCCGGGCUCAACCUGGGAACUGCAUUGGAAACUGGCGAGCUUGAGUAUGGCAGAGGGGGGUGGAAUUCCGCGUGUAGCAGUGAAAUGCGUAGAGAUGCGGAGGAACACCGAUGGCGAAGGCAGCCCCCUGGGCCAAUACUGACGCUCAGGCACGAAAGCGUGGGGAGCAAACAGG
rnacentral:rRNA from 1 species